rnacentral:rRNA from 1 species
UUCUUCGGAAAGACACUAAGCGGAUUAGUGGCGAACGGGUGAGUAACGCGUGAGUAACCUGCCUUACACAAGGGGAUAGCCUUUGGAAACGAAGAAUAAUACCCUAUAAAACCAUAAAAGCACAUGCUAGAAUGGUCAAAGUGAUAGCGGUGUAAGAUGGACUUGCGUCUGAUUAGCUAGUUGGUGAGAUAAAAGCUCACCAAGGCAACGAUCAGUAGCCGGCUUGAGAGAGUGUACGGCCACAUUGGGACUGAGACACGGCCCAGACUCCUACGGGAGGCAGCAGUGGGGAAUUUUGCACAAUGGGGGAAACCCUGAUGCAGCGACGCCGCGUGAUUUAGAAGGCCUUCGGGUUGUAAAAAUCUUUUGUAUAGGAAGAAAAUGACAGUACUAUA